UACAAUGUUAAUUGAUGUUGAUAAUGAUGACCCUGAGGCACUGCAAGAUCCUGAAGUGCCUUCUAAAUCAUCAAAGAAAGAUUAAGUUAUGUUAAGUAUUGCUUGUGUUAAAUGUAUUUUUGGUG